UCCAGACUCCUACGGGAGGCAGCAGUGGGGAAUAUUGCACAAUGGGGGAAACCCUGAUGCAGCGACGCCGCGUGAGCGAAGAAGUAUUUCGGUAUGUAAAGCUCUAUCAGCAGGGAAGAAAAAAAUGACGGUACCUGAGUAAGAAGCACCGGCUAAAUACGUGCCAGCAGCCGCGGUAAUACGUAUGGUGCAAGCGUUAUCCGGAUUUACUGGGUGUAAAGGGAGCGUAGGCGGCGCGUUAAGUCUGAUGUGAAAACCCGAGGCUCAACCACGGGAGUGCAUUGGAAACUGGCGGGCUGGAGUGCCGGAGAGGUAAGCGGAAUUCCUAGUGUAGCGGUGAAAUGCGUAGAUAUUAGGAGGAACACCAGUGGCGAAGGCGGCUUACUGGACGGCAACUGACGCUGAGGCUCGAAAGCGUGGGGAGCAAACAGGAUUUGAUACCCCUGUA
rnacentral:rRNA from 1 species